rnacentral:lncRNA from 1 species
AGAUAUGAAGAUAGAAACUCUGCUGGAGCUGCUGCAUAUGUCUUACUUGGACAUCUAAUAAGGCUCAGCCAGCAUGAUGUCACCAGUGCACUGGGCCAACCAGCCCUUCUGUGGGGUGGAAAGGUGAGCAAAGAAAAUGAAAAUGUAUUCCACUGUCUUCCAGCUCCCUUUAUUUCCAUCAAGAAAUCUGCUGUCAUAUCCUUUGUUGGUUAUUUUAGUUUUCACUUUCAUUCAGUUUUAAGUACUUUUCUUAAUCUUAUUCUACAGCUGUUAAUACAAUGUUUCUUGGCAGAUUUUUGGGUCAAUGUACUUAGGAUACAUUAUAGUUUCUGACCCCUAGUGAUGCUAUGGACAUUUGGCUUGGAACAGCUCAAUCUCUCCAAUUUCUUUUGUGUUCACUGUUUCAAGGUCUGGAUUUAGCUCAUUUUUUUUUUUUUCAGGGAGAAAGUAAAUCUUCAGAUAUUUUAUUUUAUGAGAAUCCACAAUGCAAUUAAACAUUUAUUAUAUACAGUAUCUAGUUAUAUUUUAGUGGGAGCCCUUCAAAAUGCUGCCCAUUGAAAAUAUUCAGCCCAGAAUAUUUACCAUAAAUUCCAUGUCUGAAAUAACUAUAUUGUUAACAUACUGGAAUGAUAUAAAAUAAUUUUAAAGAUUAUCAAAACACCUGGCAUUUUAAAAAUAGAAACUCUCUAGUUAUGUUUAAAACAUUAGAGUUUAUAGAGAUUAAAAGUGUUUUCUUCCUUUAAUCACUAUUCUGGAAUCUCAGUCUGAGCUGUUCUACUCUGCUCCUUAAUGCUGAGAACAUUCUGAAGGAUUUACUUUUGUUUAAUAUUUAUAUAUUCUAGAUUUCAUGUUCUUUUCCUGAAGGCAAUGUAUAUAUUCAUAGUGAAUUAUUUAGCAUCAAUCAUGGGCAACCUUGAUGCUGCUUCUUUUAAUCUUUCUGACUAAGAAAUGAUGUUCUCAUAGGUAUGCAAUGAAACAUGGUUUUGAGAGUCUUUUAAAAAAAACCAUAUAUUAAAACCUUUUGAGAAUCUAAGCAAAACGGUUUGUUUCCCACCAUUAACAUUAAUGUAAUGCAAUCUUUAUUUCUGGAAUAGCCAAUAUUCACAGUAAUAGAAGUUUUAGAAAAGACUCACUCUUCAAUUCUCUUUGCCAAUUUACUCAAACAUUAUCAAAAAGAUUGUGUAUUGUAGUUUUCUUCUUGAGAGAAAUAUAGACAAUAAUCUCUUUGAAAAGAGGGGGAGUCAGAAUACCUGUUGUGGUAACGAACCCAACUAGUAUCCAUGAGGACUCAGGUUUGAUCCCUAGCCUUGCCCAGUGGGUUAAGGAUCCGGCAUUGCCGUGAACUGUGGUGUAGGUCGCAAACAGGGCUCAGAUCCCGCAUUGCUGUGGCUGUGGUGUAGGCCAGCAGCUGCAGCUCUGAUUGGACACCUAGCCUGGGAACUUCCAUAUGUCAUGCAUGUGGCCCUGAAAAGCGAAAGUAAAUAAAUAAAUAAAUAAAUGGGACUCA